UUUGUACUCCAAUGUUGCGGCAAAUCGAUAAAGUAGAAAUCACCGCAUACGUUAAUUCAUAUCAAUUCAUAAAAUUGAGUAGUGGAGAAAAAGAGAGAAGGACUUUUAAUAGGACAAAGAAAGUGUUAAGCAAACGAUUAUUAUUUUAAACUAAAA
rnacentral:misc_RNA from 1 species